GCUGAACACACCCCUUCUGUUGCCAGGCCUGGGACCACGCUCCAGACAGUCUCGAUUGUCAAUUCCUUGUUUCGUCUUUACCUCUUACCUCACAUCCAUGUGUUGGUCCCUCACUGAACCCUGAAGUUGCUUCAGGGAAACUAAGAAAUACGAGGCCUGCCUGGAGGAGGUGAACCUUCAGAGGAAAACACUCCCUCAAAAGUCAGGUCAGCGGAUUGUGCUGGUAACUCCCUCCCGUCACCGAAGCAUGCACUAACAGUGAGUUAGCCUCAUGACAGAUGUGGAGAGCUGUUUGCUGCUUCAUUUAAGCAGCAUUUUAGCAGCACCAUUUCUGUCACCCUUUACAUUUGUCAGAGUUAAAGAAUUAGAAGGCAGGAAAGAUAAAGAUACAGCAGAUAUCAGCAGGGAAAAUCUCGAUGCAGCAGACAGAAUCAGCCAGGCAAUUGAUGCAUGGCUGUGAAUAGAAGACCAACAGUGUCCCCUGGAUGUGAGCAGCAUACCCCAAGACAUGGAAUUUUAAGUUAAUAAAACAUGUAGGGAAGAGAUUUGUUUAAAGAUUCACAGCUGUAGAGGGGAGGAUCAGAAUUAGGAGCAAAUCAAGAGACAAAGUAUCCCGGUCUUCAUUAAGCCUGAGCAUCCGGCUGGAGUAUUGAGUUGGAGUCUAGAGCUACUGGUGACUUCCUUGACCUUGACAAUUGUCUGGAAUCAGUAAUCCAUCCCGAGCAGUGCCAUGCUCAGAUAGAAGAACAAAAGCAGCAUCAGUCUCCAGCAGGCUGUCACAAUCCACAUGUGCUCACCAAUGAUUAUCUUCAGUUUAAUUCCCACAGCAAUGAAGCCCAGCACCAGCUCAUAGCUAGCUGGGCGAUAAAGAUGAUCGCAUUAGAGAAGGAAAGAAACUCCCAGGGGAAGGCUGACUGAGGAGGCCUUCUCAUGCUUCUUGGCCACUGUGGAUGCUUCCCCUAGGGCAGCCACAGUAAGAGGGGUGUGUGGAGUGUGCUGUUUACAUAAC